UAAAAACAAAGUAUUAAGUAAUUAAAAAUAGUAACCCCAAAUUAUGUUAAAAUGUAAAUUAGUUUAAAAAAGAUCAACCAAUAGAAACUGUCCUUAUAAAAAUAAUUAUUCUAAAAGUAAUUUUGAUUGGUGAAUAAAACAAGUCCAACCAGCACGUGAUCUUAGGGUUUAAAAUAGGAAACCCUAAGGAACCAAACAUUAAUUUACUCGUAUGGUUGGACUCGAAAUAAACAUAUAUAGACAUCUUUGUUUUAUUCACCAGG
rnacentral:lncRNA from 1 species